UAGGGAAUCUUCGGCAAUGGGGGGAACCCUGACCGAGCAACGCCGCGUGAGUGAAGAAGGUUUUCGGAUCGUAAAGCUCUGUUGUUAAGGAAGAACGAGUGUGAGAAUGGAAAGUUCAUACUGUGACGGUACUUAACCAGAAAGGGACGGCUAACUACGUGCCAGCAGCCGCGGUAAUACGUAGGUCCCGAGCGUUGUCCGGAUUUAUUGGGCGUAAAGCGAGCGCAGGCGGUUAGAUAAGUCUGAAGUUAAAGGCAGUGGCUCAACCAUUGUAGGCUUUGGAAACUGUUUAACUUGAGUGCAGAAGGGGAGAGUGGACUUCCAUGUGUAGCGGUGAAAUGCGUAGAUAUAUGGAGGAACACCGGUGGCGAAAGCGGCUCUCUGGUCUGUAACUGACGCUGAGGCUCGAAAGCGUGGGGAGCGAACAGG
rnacentral:rRNA from 1 species